rnacentral:rRNA from 1 species
GAUCAUGGCUCAGGAUGAACGCUGGCGGCGUGCUUAACACAUGCAAGUCGAACGGUAAGGCCCCUUCGGGGGUACACGAGUGGCGAACGGGUGAGUAACACGUGGGCAAUCUGCCCCUGUCUCCGGGAUAACUCAGGGAAACUUGAGCUAAUACCGGAUACUCCGCGAAGAUCGCAUGGUCUUCUCGGGAAAGCUCCGACGGACAGGGAUGAGCCCGCGGCCCAUUAGCUUGUUGGUAGGGUAAUGGCCUACCAAGGCGACGAUGGGUAGCCGAGCUGAGAGGCUGAUCGGCCACACUGGGACUGAGACACGGCCCAGACUCCUACGGGAGGCAGCAGUGGGGAAUUUUGCGCAAUGGGCGAAAGCCUGAACGCAGCAACGCCGCGUGCGGGACGAAGGCCUUCGGGUUGUAAACCGCUUUCAGCAGGGAUGAAACUGACAGUACCUGCAGAAGAAGCCCCGGCUAACUACGUGCCAGCCGCCGC